rnacentral:rRNA from 1 species
GAUGAACGCUAGCGGCAGGCCUAAUACAUGCAAGUCGAACGGUCCGCUUCGGCGGAUAGUGGCGCACGGGUGCGUAACACGUAUGCAACCUACCUUACAUUGGGGGAUAGCCUUUCGAAAGGGAGAUUAAUACCGCACAAGACAGUAGCUGGGCAUCCAGUAGCUGUUAAAGAUUUAUCGAGGUAAGCUGGGCAUGCGUCCAAUCAGUUAGUUGGUGAGGUAACGGCUCACCAAGACGAUGAUUGGUAGGGGAACUGAGAGGUCAAUCCCCCACGCUGGCACUGAGAUACGGGCCAGACUCCUAUGGGAGGCAGCAGUAGGGAAUAUUGGGCAAUGGACGCAAGUCUGACCCAGCCAUGCCGCGUGCAGGAAGAAGGCGUUCUGCGUUGUAAACUGCUUUUAUAUAGGGAGAAACGACCCUUGCGAGGGGCAUUGACGGUAUUAUAUGAAUAAGCACCGGCUAACUCCGUGCCAGCAGCCGCCGUAAGAC